rnacentral:rRNA from 1 species
UACGUAGGGGGCAAGCGUUGUCCGGAUUUAUUGGGCGUAAAGCGCGUGUAGGCGGCCAGGUAGGUCCGUUGUGAAAACUCGAGGCUCAACCUCGAGACGUCGACGAAAACCAUCUGGCUAGAGUCCGGAAGAGGAGAGUGGAAUUCCUGGUGUAGCGGUGAAAUGCGCAGAUAUCAGGAAGAACACCCGUGGCGAAGGCGGCUCUCUGGGACGGUACUGACGCUGAGACGCGAAAGCGUGGGGAGCGAACAGG